CUUCAAUUCAAACUUGAGCUGCAGUUCUCUCUGCUCCUUGUGGAGAUUAAGGGCAGGUCUAUACUUGAAACACUGCAUUGGCACAGCUGCACUGAUGCAACUGCGCCGCUGUGAUGCUUUAAUGAAGACAUUCUAUGCUGACAGCAAGGCAGAGUUUUUUAGGACUGAACAUAACUCCACCAUAAAAAAAUGUUGCCAAGUGAAAGCAGAAUAACAAUCUCUCAAGGGGCUAUGGGCCAGCAGCCAAUGGAUGACAGUUUGGCAGGAACAGGGAAGAUGAUGGAUAAGGAGAC